rnacentral:rRNA from 1 species
AUUGAACGCUGGCGGCAUGCCUUACACAUGCAAGUCGAACGGUAACAGGUCUUCGGAUGCUGACGAGUGGCGAACGGGUGAGUAAUACAUCGGAACGUGCCUAGUAGUGGGGGAUAACUACUCGAAAGAGUGGCUAAUACCGCAUGAGAUCUACGGAUGAAAGCAGGGGAUCGCAAGACCUUGUGCUACUAGAGCGGCCGAUAUCGGAUUAGGUAGUUGGUGGGGUAAAGGCUCACCAAGCCAACGAUCUGUAGCUGGUCUGAGAGGACGACCAGCCACACUGGGACUGAGACACGGCCCAGACUCCUACGGGAGGCAGCAGUGGGGAAUUUUGGACAAUGGACGCAAGUCUGAUCCAGCCAUGCCGCGUGCGGGAAGAAGGCCUUCGGGUUGUAAACCGCUUUUGUCAGGGAAGAAACGCUCUGGGUUAAUACCUCGGGGUAAUGACGGUACCUGAAGAAUAAGCACCGGCUAACUACGUGCCAGCAGCCGCCGUAA